CGGACGGGUGAGUAAUGUCUGGGAAACUGCCCGAUGGAGGGGGAUAACUACUGGAAACGGUAGCUAACACCGCAUAACGUCGCAAGACCAAAGAGGGGGACCUUAGGGCCUCUUGCCAUCGGAUGUGCCCAGAUGGGAUUAGCUAGUAGGUGGGGUAACGGCUCACCUAGGCGACGAUCCCUAGCUGGUCUGAGAGGAUGACCAGCCACACUGGAACUGAGACACGGUCCAG
rnacentral:rRNA from 1 species